GAGUUAUUGGUAAAUCUCGAGGUCAACUCGUUCAAAUUUUGUGUCCAAAGUGUAACCAACAACUAGAUUCAUGGGAAUGUGACUUCUAUGUUAUGUGUUGGAUUAAGACCAUCAUUCGAGCUGUCAUUACAGAUGACUGGAAUGAGCGCUUCAAGAGUACAUCUCCUAUACCAGAGGACACAAUUAGGCAGAUAAGGUAGGAGUGGACAACUUAUCUUCUGCAAAGAUGGAGUUAGGAAUAAUUUUAUUUGUUGUUGAACAUUGCUUAGUUUUAGUUUAAGUUUAUAUCUUGAUAGUUUUGGUAGUGGAUUAUUUUUUACAUUAAGUAGAAC